rnacentral:lncRNA from 1 species
ACACCCAGAAUAUUUUUGGGACGCAGUAAAAAGGCAAGCUUUGGAAAUGGGAAAUUAGGAUUUACUUGAGAGGCUGGGAAAACCUGGAACUGGAAUUAUUAAUAACAUGGGUGCUGGUGGGAGGGAAAUAGAGGGAGGACCCGGAGCCGCUUCAGGCUCUGAUGAAGAGAUGUAGACAGAUCAGGAAGUCAGUGGGGCAUCACAAAGGGCAGUCCAAGCCUUCCCUGUGUUUAAGGCUGCCCCGAACACGGGGCAGACUGACAGUCAUAAUGUGAUCGCAUGGAAAGUAGUACAGGAUAUAUACAACAUAAAGUGGCACAAUACAGACUUGGCUCUUCGGAAGUUAUGCAGAUUAUCAGGGUAAUAAACACUGAUCUGCUUGCUCCAUUUGAUAUUAGACACCUGGCUCAAGUGUUAUUCCAGCUUGUGCAAUUUAAAGUCGUUGAGGAUAAUUGGAGGGAGAUGGCUCAAAGAGCUGCAGAUGAGAACAUGCGUCUGCCUGUACAUAAUCCCAGACAUAGUGUUAAACUGGAUGUCCUUAUAGGAACAGGUGAUUAUUCCAAUCCUGAACUCCAGGCCUGUUGGGACUCUAGAAUCCUUGAACAAGGACAGAAAAUCAGUAUUGGAAUAUUGCUGAAGACUAUAGAAACAGCUGCUCCCAAGUCACGAUAUAUGACAAUUACUCAAGGCUUAAAUGAGCCAUUCUUGCCAUUUGUUGAGAAAAUAGCAGCGGCCUUGGAGAAACAGGCUGAGGAUGAUAACCUGAGACAGAUCCUGUGUAAACAACUAAAAAGGGAUAAUGCUAAUGAAGACUGCAGAAAGAUCAUAGGGGCUCUUCCAGGGGACCCCUCAAUAACAGAGAUGGUCCAAGCAUGUACCAAAGUAGGCUCUGUAAAGCACAAAAUGUCUGCUUUGGCUGCUGCUCUAACAUCAAAACAAGAGGGCCAUCAGGGUGGUUCAAGGAAGCAAAAAGAUGCUCAGAGUAAGGCUCAGCAGGUGAAGCAGAAGGAAAAAGGAAAGGGUAAUUUCCUGUGUGCUAGAUGUAACAAGC